UUUUUUUCCAAUGAGGCACGGUGGCGGCACACACUGCCCUUUGGAGGCAGAAGGACAGGAAGUUCAAGGCCACCUUGUCUUAAAAUAGAAAUCCCACAAGCUUUGGAAAUAGGAUAGAGUUUUUAAAGAAAGUUUAGAUGAGAUUCUACCCGAAGCACACAUUUUAAUGCUUCUCAUGUCUAAACUCGGAGAAGUUUAAACCUUAGCCUUAGUAAAUACGUCUUUACAAGUCUACACCCACUGAUGG
rnacentral:lncRNA from 1 species